rnacentral:rRNA from 1 species
UACAGAGGUGGCAAGCGUUGUUCGGAUUUAUUGGGCGUAAAGGGUCCGUAGGCGGUUCGGAAAGUCAGAUGUGAAAUCCUACAGCUCAACUGUAGAACUGCAUUUGAAACUUCCGGACUAGAGUAUGAGAGGGGUUAAGGGAAUUCCCGGUGUAAGGGUGAAAUCUGCAGAGAUCGGGAGGAACACCAGUCGCGAAGGCGCUUAACUGGCUCAUUACUGACGCUCAGGGA